rnacentral:lncRNA from 1 species
CCACGUUACUGUGCUGAAUACUGUAGGCAAUUAUGACAAAAUGGUGUUGCCAAUGUGAAGGCAUUAAGAAGUGGAGCCUUUAAGAGGAAACGGGAGCAGCCUCCACUGCUUACCUGUUCAAACCACCUUAAUUUGUGGCCUCUGGGGUGGAAGAUGCUUGGAAGCAGUGUGUUCUACAGUGAAGAUCCUGUGUGAAACCGGUCAAUGGAACUGAAGGGAGACAUACUCUUUAAAAAAAGAUAAAGAAGAAACCAUUUAUAAGGAAAGAAACAUUGAAGGGCAGAAAGUAAUGAGUCACCAUUGCAAGUUGGCACAAAAAGAAAAAUUAGUUCAUAAAAAUGCAGUUGGAUAAAUAAUAGGUUAUUUCAUCAUGUAAAUAUAUCCCAAAAUAACUUUAUUGAAAUGAAAAUAUCUAUCGCAGCCUAAACUAUUCAUCACACUAACGUAUAUCUAGAAUCCUAACAAAUUUAUGAAAAUGUUAUAUUCCAUAAUCUUCCUGAUCCAAUGCAAAUAAAUAGAUGUGCUUCAACUGUCUUGUUAUGAAAUGAUUAAUCACUGCUGCCAAAAGCAGCCAAGAAGCUAAUUUUGAUUUCUCACGUUGUGGGUGGCAUUUGAGGGAAUCCGUGAGGACUUUUCUCUGAGUAUUGGACCUUGUAGAAUGAAGAUCUCAUUCCUCUGUCUUCCCCAAUCUGGGCCAACCUGGGAAAGGAUCAUCAUUAUCUCUUUUAAGCUGGGUAAAGCUUUUCCCAGAUAAAGAAAUUCC